rnacentral:rRNA from 1 species
AUGAGGCUUACAGCAUGGAACUGUCAGGGUUUUGGGAAUGGCCCGGCAGUAAGAGGGCUUCUGGACCUCCAGAAGCAGGAGGACCCUGAAGUUCUCUUUUUAUCUGAAACAAAGUUGGAUAAAAGGAGAAUGGAGAAGUUUAAAUGGAUGCUUGGCAUGAGUAACAUGGUGGUAAGAGAUUGUGCAGGCAAAAGUGGAGGCUUGGCUUUAUUUUGGAAGAAAGAAAUAAACUUGGAGCUGCACAAUUACUCAAGGUACCAUAUUGAUGUGGAAGUGGUUGAAAAAGAUGGUUUUAGAUGGUGA